rnacentral:lncRNA from 1 species
AAAAGUUCACUUGAAGAUUCAAAAUCCAAACUUUUUAACCUUUUAGAGGGAGAUUCAGCUGAUAAUUGCCCUUUUCGGGAAAACCCACUUUCCGAAACCCUAAUUUCUUCCGAUUCCCUUCGAAACGUGCCGUCUGGAUUCGAAUUAGCCUCAAUUCUCUGCGUCGGAUCCACUUCCACUUCCGAAAACCCUAGGUCCGUAUCCCUCCCCAAAUCAACGCCCCUACUUCUGUCAGCACUAUCAGCACCAACUG